rnacentral:rRNA from 1 species
UGGGGAAUAUUGCGCAAUGGGGGAAACCCUGACGCAGCGACGCCGCGUGCGGGAUGAAGGCCUUCGGGUUGUAAACCGCUUUUGAUUGGGAGCAAGCCUUUUGGGUGAGUGUACCUUUCGAAUAAGCGCCGGCUAACUACGUGCCAGCAGCCGCGGUAAUACGUAGGGCGCAAGAGUUAUCCGGAAUUCUUGGGCGUAAAGAGCUUGUAGGCGGUUCGUCGCGUCUGGUGUGAAAGCCCAUCGCUUAACGGUGGGUUUGCGCCGGGUACGUGCUGGCUAGAGUGCAGUAGGUGAGACUGGAAUUCCCGGUGUAACGGUGGAAUGUGUAGAUAUCGGGAAGAACACCAAUGGCGAAGGCAGGUCUCUGGGCUGUUACUGACGCUGAGAAGCGAAAGCGUGGGGAGCGAACAGG